rnacentral:rRNA from 1 species
UGAACGCUAGCUACAGGCUUAACACAUGCAAGUCGAGGGGCAGCAUGGUCUUAGCUUGCUAAGGCCGAUGGCGACCGGCGCACGGGUGAGUAACACGUAUCCAACCUGCCGUCUACUCUUGGACAGCCUUCUGAAAGGAAGAUUAAUACAAGAUGGCAUCAUGAGUCCGCAUGUUCACAUGAUUAAAGGUAUUCCGGUAGACGAUGGGGAUGCGUUCCAUUAGAUAGUAGGCGGGGUAACGGCCCACCUAGUCUUCGAUGGAUAGGGGUUCUGAGAGGAAGGUCCCCCACAUUGGAACUGAGACACGGUCCAAACUCCUACGGGAGGCAGCAGUGAGGAAUAUUGGUCAAUGGGCGAGAGCCUGAACCAGCCAAGUAGCGUGAAGGAUGACUGCCCUAUGGGUUGUAAACUUCUUUUAUAAAGGAAUAAAGUCGGGUAUGGAUACCCGUUUGCAUGUACUUUAUGAAUAAGGAUCGGCUAACUCCGUGCCAGCAGCCGCGGUAAUACGGAGGAUCCGAGCGUUAUCCGGAUUUAUUGGGUUUAAAGGGAGCGUAGAUGGAUGUUUAAGUCAGUUGUGAAAGUUUGCGGCUCAACCGUAAAAUUGCAGUUGAUACUGGAUAUCUUGAGUGCAGUUGAGGCAGGCGGAAUUCGUGGUGUAGCGGUGAAAUGCUUAGAUAUCACGAAGAACUCCGAUUGCGAAGGCAGCCUGCUAAGCUGCAACUGACAUUGAGGCUCGAAAGUGUGGGUAUCAAACAGGAUUAGAUACCCUGGUAGUCCACACGGUAAACGAUGAAUACUCGCUGUUUGCGAUAUACUGCAAGCGGCCAAGCGAAAGCGUUAAGUAUUCCACCUGGGGAGUACGCCGGCAACGGUGAAACUCAAAGGAAUUGACGGGGGCCCGCACAAGCGGAGGAACAUGUGGUUUAAUUCGAUGAUACGCGAGGAACCUUACCCGGGCUUAAAUUGCAGAUGAAUUACGGUGAAAGCCGUAAGCCGCAAGGCAUCUGUGAAGGUGCUGCAUGGUUGUCGUCAGCUCGUGCCGUGAGGUGUCGGCUUAAGUGCCAUAACGAGCGCAACCCUUGUUGUCAGUUACUAACAGGUUCCGCUGAGGACUUUGACAAGACUGCCAUCGUAAGAUGUGAGGAAGGUGGGGAUGACGUCAAAUCAGCACGGCCCUUACGUCCGGGGCUACACACGUGUUACAAUGGGGGGUACAGAGGGCCGCUACCACGCGAGUGGAUGCCAAUCCCCAAAACCUCUCUCAGUUCGGACUGGAGUCUGCAACCCGACUCCACGAAGCUGGAUUCGCUAGUAAUCGCGCAUCAGCCACGGCGCGGUGAAUACGUUCCCGGGCCUUGUACACACCGCCCGUCAAGCCAUGGGAGCCGGGGGUACCUGAAGUGCGUAACCGCGAGGAGCGCCCUAGGGUAAAACUGGUGACUGGGGC